rnacentral:rRNA from 1 species
GAUGAACGCUGGCGGCGUGCCUAAUACAUGCAAGUCGAGCGAACAGAUGAGGAGCUUGCUCCUCUGACGUUAGCGGCGGACGGGUGAGUAACACGUGGAUAACCUACCUAUAAGACUGGGAUAACUUCGGGAAACCGGAGCUAAUACCGGAUAAUAUAUUGAACCGCAUGGUUCAAUAGUGAAAGACGGUUUUGCUGUCACUUAUAGAUGGAUCCGCGCCGCAUUAGCUAGUUGGUAAGGUAACGGCUUACCAAGGCAACGAUGCGUAGCCGACCUGGGAGGGUGAUCGGCCACACUGGAACUGAGACACGGUCCAGACUCCUACGGGAGGCAGCAGUAGGGAAUCUUCCGCAAUGGGCGAAAGCCUGACGGAGCAACGCCGCGUGAGUGAUGAAGGUCUUCGGAUCGUAAAACUCUGUUAUUGGGGAAGAACAAAUGUGUAAGUAACUAUGCACGUCUUGACGGUACCUAAUCAGAAAGCAACGGCUAACUACGUG